AAAUAUAUGUUAAGUGGAAAAGGAUGUGGCGUUGCCCAGACAACUAGGAUGUUGGCUUAGAAGCAGCCAUCAUUUAAAGAGUGCGUAAUAGCUCACUAGUCGAGUGACACUGCGCCGAAAAUGUACCGGGGCUAAACAUAUUACCGAAGCUGUGGAUUGUCCUUUGGACAAUGGUAGGAGAGCGUUCUAAGGGCGUUGAAGCAUGAUCGUAAGGACAUGUGGAGCGCUUAGAAGUGAGAAUGCCGGUGUGAGUAGCGAAAGACGGGUGAGAAUCCCGUCCACCGAUUGACUAAGGUUUCCAGAGGAAGGCUCGUCCGCUCUGGGUUAGUCGGGUCCUAAGCUGAGGCCGACAGGCGUAGGCGAUGGAUAACAGGUUGAUAUUCCUGUACCACCUAUAAUCGUUUUAAUCGAUGGGGGGACGCAGUAGGAUAGGCGAAGCGUGCGAUUGGAUUGCACGUCUAAGCAGUAAGGCUGAGUAUUAGGCAAAUCCGGUACUCAUUAAGGCUGAGCUGUGAUGGGGAGAAGACAUUGUGUCUUCGAGUCGUUGAUUUCACACUGCCGAGAAAAGCCUCUAGAUAGAAAAUAGGUGCCCGUACCGCAAACCGACACAGGUAGUCAAGAUGAGAAUUCUAAGGUGAGCGAGCGAACUCUCGUUAAGGAACUCGGCAAAAUGACCCCGUAACUUCGGGAGAAGGGGUGCUCUUUAGGGUUAACGCCCAGAAGAGCCGCAGUGAAUAGGCCCAAGCGACUGUUUAUCAAAAACACAGGUCUCUGCUAAACCGUAAGGUGAUGUAUAGGGGCUGACGCCUGCCCGGUGCUGGAAGGUUAAGAGGAGUGGUUAGCUUCUGCGAAGCUACGAAUCGAAGCCCCAGUAAACGGCGGCCGUAACUAUAACGGUCCUAAGGUAGCGAAAUUCCUUGUCGGGUAAGUUCCGACCCGCACGAAAGGCGUAACGAUUUGGGCACUGUCUCAACGAGAGACUCGGUGAAAUCAUAGUACCUGUGAAGAUGCAGGUUACCCGCGACAGGACGGAAAGACCCCGUGGAGCUUUACUGUAGCCUGAUAUUGAAAUUCGGCACAGCUUGUACAGGAUAGGUAGGAGCCUUUGAAACGUGAGCGCUAGCUUACGUGGAGGCGCUGGUGGGAUACUACCCUAGCUGUGUUGGCUUUCUAACCCGCACCACUUAUCGUGGUGGGAGACAGUGUCAGGCGGGCAGUUUGACUGGGGCGGUCGCCUCCUAAAAGGUAACGGAGGCGCUCAAAGGUUCCCUCAGAAUGGUUGGAAAUCAUUCAUAGAGUGUAAAGGCAUAAGGGAGCUUGACUGCGAGACCUACAAGUCGAGCAGGGUCGAAAGACGGACUUAGUGAUCCGGUGGUUCCGCAUGGAAGGGCCAUCGCUCAACGGAUAAAAGCUACCCCGGGGAUAACAGGCUUAUCUCCCCCAAGAGUUCACAUCGACGGGGAGGUUUGGCACCUCGAUGUCGGCUCAUCGCAUCCUGGGGCUGUAGUCGGUCCCAAGGGUUGGGCUGUUCGCCCAUUAAAGCGGUACGCGAGCUGGGUUCAGAACGUCGUGAGACAGUUCGGUCCCUAUCCGUCGUGGGCGUAGGAAAUUUGAGAGGAGCUGUCCUUAGUACGAGAGGACCGGGAUGGACAUACCUCUGGUGUACCAGUUGUCGUGCCAACGGCAUAGCUGGGUAGCUAUGUGUGGACGGGAUAAGUGCUGAAAGCAUCUAAGCAUGAAGCCCCCCUCAAGAUGAGAUUUCCCAACUUCGGUUAUAAGAUCCCUCAAAGAUGAUGAGGUUAAUAGGUUC
rnacentral:rRNA from 1 species